UACGUAGGGUGCAAGCGUUGUCCGGAAUUAUUGGGCGUAAAGAGCUCGUAGGCGGUCUGUCGCGUCGGCUGUGAAAUCCCGAGGCUCAACCUCGGGUCUGCAGUCGAUACGGGCAAACUAGAGUGUUGCAGGGGAGACUGGAAUUCCUGGUGUAGCGGUGAAAUGCGCAGAUAUCAGGAGGAACACCGGUGGCGAAGGCGGGUCUCUGGGCAACAACUGACGCUGAGGAGCGAAAGCAUGGGGAGCGAACAGG
rnacentral:rRNA from 1 species